CCCAGUGUGAGGGACCGGGGGAGCUUCGCCCCGGCCGCCAUGACCCUGCGGUGGUUUCGUCUAGGCCAUGGCGGAGGCUGGCUGCCUGAACGGGUGCAAGAGGCCCGCCGGCGGGAGCGCGGAGGGACAGGCGGCUCGGAAGAAGAGGAAGGUGGGUGGCGGCGGCCGGGGUCCUGAGGAAAAGUCAUCUCGCUUGUCAGCAGCUCUGUUUGGUGAGGACUGUGAGAUCAGCCAUGACCAGCUGUAUGAGCUGUUAAAGUAUGCAGCUCUGGGCAAACGCCACAAUGCAACACAGCCCAGCUGGUGCCGUAUUUCUCACCAAAGCCACCUGGCUGGGGUCGUGGUUAUUGUUCUACAUGAAAUGAGCCAACUCCAUUUCUACAAAUUCUAUUUGCAGUUCAAGCACCUCAGGAAAGUGUUCCGGCAUAGAUUCAUAUUAACACCUUCAACUAACUUUUUUGCCAGCCUGUAUGGAGAGGGAGCAAAUCUGAAGCCUCAGAACACUGCCCAAGGUUUGACUUCUGCUGGCAGUGAAUGUAUUCAGAAAAACUCAGACUUGCAAUGUGAUCCCAUCAUUCGGAAAUAUGGAAUAAAACCCCAAGGCCUUACUAGCUAUAUUCUAACUUUAGAAGAGCAGAGAAAAAAUGACUAUCCCAUAAAAGGCUCCCCAGGUUGUAAGGGCUAUAUAUAUACAGAGUGUGAUCAGCAGAGGACAGACAGCAGCCCCCUCUUUGGUCUGGAUUGUGAAAUGUGCCUGACUGCAAAAGGAAAUGAAGUCACUCGUGUCUCUUUGGUGGAUGCACAGGGUCAAUGCCUCUUGAAUGAACUAGUCAAACCUGAAAGCAGAGUGAUGAACUACCUUACCAGAUUCUCAGGAGUCACAAAGAAAAUGCUUCUUCCAGUGAAAACAAGACUGUCAGACAUCCAAACCAGACUAAAAGAAAUGCUUCCCCAUGAUGCAGUAUUGGUGGGUCAUUCUCUAAAUGCUGAUCUUCAGGCUUUGGAAAUGAUCCACCCCAGCGUUAUUGACACUUCACUGCUGUUUGCCAGAAAUGAAGGUCGAAGAUUUAAGCUCAAAUUUCUAGCCAAAGCUGUUUUAGGGAAGGAGAUUCAGUGUGAAGAGAAGCUUGGGCACGAUCCUGAAGAAGAUGCUAGAGCUGCAUUGGAAUUGGCUCAAUUCUUUAUUGAGCAAGGACCAGCAAAGGUAGCAGAGCUAAACUUGGAGAUGCUUCUGACAACUGAAAAACUGGCCAAGGACUCACAGAACAAAGCUGCAUUACAGCCACAAGGAUGUAGAGUCCAGAAACAGUUCAAUGAGCCUACACAUUUAUCCAAACCAUGUUUUUUAGACUGCUUGCAGGUGACUGGCCAAAAACCCGUCCUGUUGGGCAGACAGGGACUAGACUCUUCAGGUCUGCGUCAGAGUAACCUGAGCACUUCAAACAAACAGAUUCUUCAGAGAGCCUUAGAAGAUGUUCCCCUGUCCACAUUCAGUAUCAUUCAGUUCAGUUUGGGUCCAGAGUACACAGCAUCUCAUCUUCCUGCACUUUGUGAACAGGUGAGAAGCAAGCUGGCUGACAUGCUGACAAUUUAUGCAGGUCCUUUUGAAGAAGGCUUUUGCCUACACUCUGUGAAAAAAGAAUUUGGGAGGUGUGGACCAAUCCAAACUCUUACAGUGGUAACUGAACCAUACAAGCCUUAUGUCUGUAUCCAGUAUGAAGUGCUAGAAGCUGCCCAGCUUGCUGUGGAAAGCCUAAAUGGAGCUGAGGUAGCAGGAUCCUGCAUUAAGGUCCAGAGACCUGUCACUGCAGCAAUGCUCGACUGUGAUGAUUUGAUAAAGGAACUAGAACUGGAUGUAGAAAAUGAAGGUGUGAUUUACGUGGCGGGGCUAAAGAAGUCAUUAACAGAGAUGGACUUGCAAGAAGAAUUCAGCCAGUUAAAAGACCUGGAAAUACUGUUCCUGCCAAAAGACCUCCGGAAUGGCAAGCACAGGAACUGCUGUUUCCUCAAAUUCCAGGAAUCAGAGAGUGCUGCGGAUGCCAUUGAAGUUAUAAAUGGAUGGACUGUGAAGGGUAGCAAACUAAGAAGUAGGAAUGCUCUUGCUUCAGGUCACCUCUGGAGAUGGAUUUGGCAAAUGAAACACAGCAAUGGGAAGCAAGGAGGACACAUCUUAUAUGAGAAGAUGGAGCAAUUGUCUGACUCUGAGCAGGAUCUAAGGAAGAAGGCGAAGAAGUUAGACCAUCAUAUCAAAAAGCUUUAUAGAAGUCUUCGGAAUAAUACCCUGUGUGUUGUUCUCUUUCCUGGAGUGAACAGUUUCCCUUCAACAUAAGGGGUACCCUUCCUUGUGGAGACAGAAGACAUGCCCUGAAGUAGGAGCAGGGAGGCAGAGCUGCUCGGCAGCAUCUCUUCUGCCUGGCUAGGCAGCCAGGCCAGGUUCCACUCUCUUGUAAAGCUUCCUGAGAAAAACAUUGAUGCUGUAUUACCCUCUGAACCAGUGUCCCAAAAAAGGCAGAUGCAUCCCAAGCUACAGCAGGCACGGAGCACAACCUGGCCUUGGUCUGAUGGCAGUAAAAGAUGAUGGAGGGAGGAGCGCUCAUUGAACUGCCAAGUUUUUAAGCAAAGUCUUUUGUUAAGAUAUUUUUAAU